rnacentral:miRNA from 1 species
UUAAUUAUUAUAAUAAAUAUUUUAUGAAUAGAAAGAAUCUUCGGCGAAAUAAAUUUUUUUAAUAUAUUCAUUAUAAUCAUUUUAG